GUGUGUGUGUUGUGUGUGGUUACCCUUGCUAUUGGCUAUCUGCUGUGAGGUAGUGGCAUGUGUGUGUGUGUGUGUGUGUGGUUACCCUUGCUAUUGGCUAUCUGCUGUGAGGUAGUGGAAUGCUCAGUGCUGUGUGUGUGUGUGUGUGUGUGGUUACCCUUGCUAUUGGCUAUCUGCUGUGAGGUAGUGGCGUACUCAGUGCCCCAGGUGUUCAGUGAGGAGACCAUUGCAGUCGCCACAACCCCAGGCUUGACACGGCCUUCAUGCCACAGUUGUUAUUGAGGAAUUCAUUGUAGCAUUAAAUAAACAAACCAUGUUGCAACUUGCCUCCACCACCUUAUUUCCCUAAAAUGUCACAUGUUGCGAAGUAAUAGUAAACAAAAAAAGAGUGGCCUUGUACUGACACAAUGUAUAAAACUGAUAAUAAGCAAAUAAUCGUAAAAUCUGUGUU